rnacentral:rRNA from 1 species
CCAAUAGCGUAUAUUAAGGUUGCUGCGGUUAAAAAGCUCGUAGUUGAAUUUCGGGAUUGAUGCAUCGGUCGUGCCUUAAGGGGUAUGAACUGGUGUGGUCAAUUUCUUACCUUCUGGUGAAUUGUGAUGUCCUCCUUAAUUGGGUGUUUCAAUGAACUAGGACUUUUUACUUUGAAAAAAUUAGAGUGUUUAAAGCAGGCAUUAUUUGCUUGAAUACAUUAGCAUGGAAUAAUAAAAUAGGACAAUGAUUCUAUUUUGUUGGUUUCUAGGAUCACUGUAAUGAUUAAUAGGGAUAGUUGGGGGCAUUAGUAUUCAAUUGUCAGAGGUGAAAUUCUUGGAUUAAUUGAAGACUAACUAUUGCGAAAGCAUUUGCCAAGGAUAUUUUCAUUAAUCAAGAACGAAAGUUAGGGGAUCGAAGACGAUUAGGUACGUCGUAGUCUUAACCAUAAACUAUGCCGACUAGGAAUCAGACAACGUUAAAUUUUUAAUGACUUGUUUGGCACCUUACG